GACGAACGCUGGCGGCGUGCUUAACACAUGCCAGUCGAACGGAAAGGCCCUGCUUUUGUGGGGUGCUCGAGUGGCGAACGGGUGAGUAACACGUGAGUAACCUGCCCCUGACUUUGGGAUAACUUCAGGUAACUCGGGCUAAUACCGGAUAGGAGCUCUUGCUGCUUGGUGUUGGUUGGCAAGUUUCGGCGGUUGGGGAUGGGCUCGCGGCUUAUCUGCUUGUUGGGGGGGUGGUGGCUUACCAAGGCUUUGACGGGUAGCCGGCCUGAGAGGGUGACCGGCCACAUUGGGACUGAGAUAGGGCCCAGACUCCUACGGGAGGCAGCGGGGGGGAAUAUGGCAAAAUGGGCGGAAGCCGGAUGCAGCACGGCCGGGGGCGGGAUAACGGCCUUCGGGUGGUAAACCGCUUUCGCCUGUGACGAAGCGGGGGUGACGGUAAUGGGUAAAGAAGCACCGGCUAACUACGUG
rnacentral:rRNA from 1 species